UCCGGGUCCUGCUGCCCGGCGCUGCCGCCGCCGGUGGGGCGGGGAAACCCUGCAGCCCCCGCCGCUGGGGGAAGGAAAAGCUCAGCCGUGGGUAGAGAGGCAGGAUGUGCCUGCCCUCCUGCGGACCGUUACCGUCGGCUUGGCCUGAGGUGGCUCGAAUCUACCAUUAGUAAAUUCUGGGAUGACACCUAGAGGGAGGCUCAGCAAUGCUCGGAAAUUGCAUAUGGACACUGAGGGAUGUAACUCAGGGAACCUGAUAUCUUCUAGCCAGCUUUGCCCCUUCAGAGCCAGCUUGGGAGUAUCUCUGCUGCACUGCCUCACCUGAAUAGAGAUGUCUGGAAUAAAACAGACAGACCAAGGUGGUCUGUUGCCCUCUGACUGCAAAAAGGCUUACUAGGCUGAAGGGAAAGCUGCAAUCUUGUACUUUUUGCAUGCUCAGGAAAUGGAGAGAAGCUGCUUUCCUUCUGCUCACAAGAGAAAUCCUUUUGAAAAGAAUGCUGGUUCCAACCUCUGCUCUGGAUGUGUGCUGCAUGUGAUUUCAUCCCAUUAGCUGUGAUGGUCACCAUUCGGUCCUGCAGGUAUCAAUUUCAAAGAAACUUUCAUCAGAAGAGAUUUGUCAGCCAUCGGAUGGAAUUUCUGGUCGAGACCAGAAGGAGAUGGCAGAGUUGAGGUAUCAGGUAGCGCUGAGAUCGGUCAGGGCACUCACCUGGAAUGUGGAAAAUCAAGGUUCAGGCCUGGGGACUUGAACGUGAGAUUUACAGAGUGCCCUGAACGCGGCUUUUGAGUUGGUUGCUUGCUGUGCAUUUAACUCUUUAUGUAAACUGGAGCCCUCCUAGAGCAGGAGAUCUUGAGACCUGAUGUGUCUCUGAUGUGUCGGUCUAGACUAAGACCUGAGGCAGUCUGUGGAAAAUGGGAGAGUAGCAAAGCAGGCACCACUGCGUACUUUACUUAUCCACCUUUUAAAUACUGUCUGUUCAUCUCUCAUUCUUGUGUAUAAAAUUCAAAAAGUCUUGGUCCUGGGGAGGAAUGGGAGCAUUUCUGAAAUCUCAUAAUAGCUUAGCAAAAUGUGAAACCUGCUUCUGCCAUCCCACCUCUAUCCUCUUUGCCAUAGAAACAAAUUGCAAAAAUCCACUGAAUUCCUGGGAGCAAACUGUGACUCAUGUAAAAUGAUUUGUC